GCGGAGGGAUCAUUACAAGUUGACCCCGGCCCUCGGGCCGGGAUGUUCACAACCCUUUGUUGUCCGACUCUGUUGCCUCCGGGGCGACCCUGCCUCCGGGCGGGGGCCCCGGGUGGACAUUUCAAACUCUUGCGUAACUUUGCAGUCUGAGUAAAUUUAAUUAAUAAAUUAAAACUUUCAACAACGGAUCUCUUGGUUCUGGCAUCGAUGAAGAACGCAGCGAAAUGCGAUAAGUAAUGUGAAUUGCAGAAUUCAGUGAAUCAUCGAAUCUUUGAACGCACAUUGCGCCCCCUGGUAUUCCGGGGGGCAUGCCUGUUCGAGCGUCAUUUCACCACUCAAGCCUCGCUUGGUAUUGGGCGACGCGGUCCGCCGCGCGCCUCAAAUCGACCGGCUGGGUCUUUCGUCCCCUCAGCGUUGUGGAAACUAUUCGCUAAAGGGUGCCGCGGGAGGCCACGCCGUAAAACAACCCCAUUUCUAAGGUUGACCUCGGAUCAGGUAGGGAUACCCGCUGAACUUAAGCAUAUCAAUAAGCGGAGGAA
rnacentral:rRNA from 1 species